GCAUAAGCGCACAGCUUCGCAUGAAGCAGUGUGAAAAACUCUGGUGGUAUACGAUGGAUCCGCGUCUGAUUAGCUAGUUGGCGGGGUAAAGGCCCACCAAGGCGACGAUCAGUAGCCGGCCUGAGAGGGUGAACGGCCACAUUGGGACUGAGACACGGCCCAAACUCCUACGGGAGGCAGCAGUGGGGAAUAUUGCACAAUGGGGGAAACCCUGAUGCAGCGACGCCGCGUGAGUGAAGAAGUAUUUCGGUACGUAAAGCUCUAUCAGCAGGGAAGAAAAUGACGGUACCUGACUAAGAAGCCCCGGCUAACUACGUGCCAGCAGCCGCGGUAAUACGUAGGGGGCAAGCGUUAUCCGGAUUUACUGGGUGUAAAGGGAGCGUAGACGGCAGCGCAAGUCUGGAGUGAAAUCCCAUGGCUUAACCAUGGAACUGCUUUGGAAACUGUGCAGCUAGAGUGCAGGAGAGGUAAGCGGAAUUCCUAGUGUAGCGGUGAAAUGCGUAGAUAUUAGGAGGAACACCAGUGGCGAAGGCGGCUUACUGGACUGUAACUGACGUUGAGGCUCGAAAGCGUGGGGAGCAAACAGGAUUAGAUACCCUGGUAGUCCACGCUGUAAACGAUGAUUACUAGGUGU
rnacentral:rRNA from 1 species